rnacentral:tRNA from 1 species
UGCUUCGUGGCGCAAUUGGUUAGCGCGUCUGACUGUUACACUAGGAACGGAAUCAGGAGGUUGAGAGUUCAAGCCUCUCCGAAGCAG